rnacentral:rRNA from 1 species
UUACGUGAAUGAUGAAGGCCUUCGCGUUGUAAAUGUUCUUUUGGCGGGGACGAUGAUGACGGUACCGCAGAAUAAGCUCCGGCUAACUUCGUGCCAGACAGCCGCGGUAAUACGAAGGGAGCUAGCGUUGUUCGGAAUUACUGGGCGUAAAGGGCGCGUAGGCGGUUUGACAAGUAGAGUGUGAAAGCCCAGGGCUCAACCCUGGAACUGCAUUCUAGACUGUCUCACUUGAAUUCGGUAGAGGUGAGUGGAAUUCCCAGUGUAGAGGUGAAAUUCGUAGAUAUUGGGAAGAACACCGGUGGCGAAGGCGGCUCACUGGACCGACAUUGACGCUGAGGCGCGAAAGCGUGGGGAGCAAACAGGAUUAGAUACCCUGGUAGUCCACGCCGUAAACGAUGCAUGCUAGACGUCGGCGGACUUAGUCCGCUCGUGUCGCAGCUAACGCACUAAGCAUGCCGCCUGGGGAGUACGGACGCAAGGUUGAAACUCAAAUGAAUUGACGGGGGCCCGCACAAGCGGUGGAGUAUGUGGUUUAAUUCGACGCAACGCGAAGAAGCUUAGCAAGCUUUGACAUGUCCCUUUGGGGUCGUAGAGA